AGGAGCUAGAAUGCCUGGACUGGUCUUGGUGCUCAUGUCAAAGAUCAUGACUGUUGGCAAACAGACAUUUAGCAGGUAUACUUUUCCCAGGAAGUGAACAUGGAUAUUUUUGAUAGAGCUGUUUUGAAGCCGGCUAUUGUGCACAGAGGAGGCUCCCAGCAAUUUUCAAACUGAGCUGAAAAAUUCU